CUUCCGUGUACUGGAACAAACCUAUAGGUUUGCUACAGUACCAGGAGAAACUAAAAGUACUAUGGAGCAAACAAGAAGAAAUAGUUCUGUUCCUGUAUUCUCUUCCUCAUUGUUUUUUGUUCCUAUUUGCAAAUGAUCAACUGUACUUUCGACGAGCUCUCUUGAUUUGAACAUAUUGUCGCUGUGAAUUUAUCACCAUGAUACAUAUACAAGGUCAAAUGCGGAGCAGAACUACAGAUGAACUUCUAAUUUCAGUAUAUGCAUUUGCAAUGGAAAUUAACUUACGAUUGGCGCAUUGAAAUUUUUGGUGGACAAAAUUGAAGAUUCACCAUAUAUAAGUACUUACAUUUCAUUUUGACCCG